AGAGUUUGAUCCUGGCUCAGGACGAACGCUGGCGGCGUGCCUAACACAUGCAAGUCACGGGGGCCCGCAAGGGUAACCGGCGAACGGGUGCGUAACACGUGAGCAAUCUGCCGAUUUCUGGGGGAUAGCCGGUCCAACGACCGGGUAAUACCGCAUACGCUCAUUGGGGGGCAUUCCCCGAUGAGGAAACCUCCGGGGGAAAUCGAGGAGCUCGCGGCCUAUCAGCUAGUUGGUGCGGUAACGGCGCACCAAGGCGACGACGGGUAGCUGGUCUGAGAGGAUGGCCAGCCACAUUGGGACUGCGACACGGCCCAGACUCCUACGGGAGGCAGCAGUGGGGAAUAUUGCGCAAUGGACGAAAGUCUGACGCAGCGACGCCGCGUGUGGG
rnacentral:rRNA from 1 species